CCACAAACCCCAUGGCUGAAGCCCUGAGCCUGGGGGCUAAAGCCCUAAGGCAGUACAGUAUUUGCUUUUUUGUUUUGGUCUGCGCUACUGCCUGAUUGAGAACUUCUGGUUCCACAGGGUGUCCAGUUGACCGUGUCUGCUGAGUAUGGACAUGCACUCCAUGUGUCUUCAUACCUCCCGUCCAAGAGCAUAAAGAUCCAGGCAAUCCCAACCACCUCUCAGUUCCUUUGCCAAUAUAGACUCCAUGUGUUAAAGGACUCCGUAGUAGCAAGGAAGAAGAGCUGGUCAUAAAAUAUAUACGGACAACAUCUCGAAGAACCACAGUUACCAUAAGGUCUGAGUGUGGAGAUGGUCCAGGAAUUAAAACCAACUUCUCCUUGUUGACUGACUCAGAGGGAAGCAAAAGGCUGGAGUAUCCGAUAAUGGACAAAGUCACAUGCUAAGGAGAUCUCUCCCAAAUGAACCAGGCUGUCUAGAUGCUUCAGACAGUCUCUGAUGCAAGAAGCCUGGCUGUCUGAUAGGCAGAUUAGGCCUCUGCACUUCGCCCGAGUGCUGAUAUAUAC